rnacentral:rRNA from 1 species
AUGUCGAAACAGCCGCACAUAGUGGUUGUUUCUCCACCAGCUGUGCAGCGUUGGCUUCCUUCGGAGGAGGGGACAGCAAAGAUAAAUGCUGAUGGGGCUGUCUCUAGCGAUGGAAGCAAGGGGGUGUCCGCUGCAAUAUGCCGUGACCAUACUGGACAAUACCUAGGUUCUUCGGCUGUUGUUUUUCGAGGUAUAUCCGACCCUACAAUCCUUGAAGUGUACGCAUGCUGGGAGGCGAUGGCGUUGGCUGAAGACCUGAACAUUCAGCGGGUGCACAUUGCAAAAGACUAUCAAGAAGUGGUACAGGACAUCAGUAGAGGAAGCAGAGGGUUACAUGUAGCGAUCCUACAUGAAAUAACAGCUCGGAAGAGCGUCUUUCUUUCUUGUAAUUUUGUUUUCGAACGUAGGAAUUUUAAUUUUGAGGCCCAUGAUCUCGCCAAGUUUGCUAGCGGUCUUUCAGUAGGUCGACAUGUCUGGUUAGGCGUGCCUCAUGACCUGAACAUUGUACCAUGGACAUUUUGCUUGAAUAAAAGAUUGGCGAGAUUUUCUCAAAAAUAA